CUUCUGAGGCAGACACUGUUGGUUGCCUAUCUAUUCAUCUUUCUCUUCCCCCUUCUUCUUGGCUGACAGUGCCAAGAAGAAAAAACUGGGAGGCCCCUUCAAAGCCUCCUUUGCAUCAGGGCAUGGGUAUGGGACUCAAUCCUGGCCAAUGGCAGUAUUGCAAAAUCUGCCCAAGAGCUUCUGGGAAAGAUUUUCCCUUCUUGUAAAGGAGACAUAUGGGGCCAGGCAUGGUGGCUUACGCCUGUAAUCCUAGCAUUUUGGGAGGCCGAGGCGGGCGGAUCACUUGAGGUCAGGAGUUCAAGACUAGCCUGGCCAACAUGGUGAAACCCUGUCUCUACUAAAAAUAGAAAAAAUUAGCUGGGCGUGGUGGCGGGCACCUGUAGUCCCAGAUACUCGGGAGGCUGAGGCAGGAGAAUGGCAUGAACCUGGGAGGCAGAGCUUGCAGUGAGCCGUGACUGCACCACUGCACUCCAGCCUGGGGGGACAGAGCGAUGCUCCGUCUCAAAAAAAAAAAAAAAAAAAAAAAAAAGAGAGACAUAUGGGAGGAAUUAUUUUUUUUUAAAACCAGGCUAAGAUAGAGGAGCAAAAAUAUAAAAAGCACUUAGGUCCUUGACAUCACUGAGUUAUCGAAUUGUCCCUGGGACUGCCUAGCUCUGGACUUAUUUGAAGACAUCAUAAACAUUUUUACUACUUAAGCCACUUUGGGUUGGUUUUUUUGUUACCUGCAGCUGAGAGCAUGCUAACUGAUACAGGGUCUUUGUCUUCUGUCUCUACCUUCCUUUAGCCCUAUGGGUCUCAUGUUUAGACACAUUCCUUCCCCAGAGCACCAGUUGUUUGGAAGUCAAGAUCUUUUGGAAACUACCUGUAUUAACUUAUCAUCACUGCCUGCUAAAUAAGAUUCUCUCUGGUCACUCCUUACUUCUUCAUUUCAGGAGCGAAAUUGGUAUCUGGUGGGGUGAAAGCAGAACCUCGGCCUUCAUGCAACUCUGUGUUUGGGAAAAAGAAGGAAGGAGGGAGAGAAGGAAACUCUGCCUGUAUUCAAACCAUUUCAAGAAACAUGGUUGAACUAAAGAGAGAAGCAAUUUAAAGUGGGUGUUUUCACACGCAGAGCUGGAAGUUCUAGCAUUGGAGGUAGGACAUUUUUGUUGUUCUUAUUUCUUUUUCUUAUCACAAAAGGAAUACUCAUUUAAUGAAGAAAACUUGAAAAGUGCAUAUAAAAGAGACACAACUUACUUUUUUUUUUUUUUUUUAAACGGAGUUUCACUCUUGCUACCCAGGCUGGAGUGCAAUGGAGCGAUCUUGGCUCACCGCAACCUCUGCCUCCCAGGUUCAAGCAAUUCUCCUGCCUCAGCCUCCCUAGCAGCUGGGAUUACAGGCACGCACCACCAUGCCUGGAUAAUUUUGUAUUUUUAGUAGAGACAGGGUUUCUCCAUGUUGGUCAGGCUGGUCUCGAAAUCCCGACCUCAGAUGAUCUGCCUGUCUCGGCCUCGCAAAGUGCUGGGAUUACAGGCGUGAGCCACUGCGCCUGGCCCACAACUUACUUUUAACUCUUACUACCUGUGCUGGUCACUGCUCACGUGUUGUGUGUGUGUUUUUUGUUUUGUUUUGUUUUUGUUUGAGACGGAGUCUCACUCUGUCCCUCAGGCUGGAGUGCAGUGGUGCGAUCUCGGCUCACUGCAAGCUCUGCCUCACGGGUUCACGCCAUUCUCCUGCCUCAGCCUACCGAGUAGCUGGGACUACAGGCGCCCGCCACCAUGCCCGGCUAAUUUUUUUUUUGUAUUUUUAGUAGAGACGGGGUUUCGCCGUGUUAGCCAGGACGGUCUCGAUCUCCUGACCUUGUGAUCUGCCCACCUCGGCCUCCCAAAGUGCUGGGAUGACAGGCGUGAGCCACCGCGCCUGGCCACUGCUCACAUUUUGCCCUAUGGGUCUGAAGUUCAGCCAUAUUCCUUCCCCAGAGCCCUAGUUGCCUUGGAAGUCAAGAUCUUUUAGAAGCCACCUGCAUCAACUUUUCACCACUGUCCUAAAUCAGAAACUUCGUGGUCACUUCCCCACUCCUCACCUGCUGCCUCCAAGGAUCUCCUCAGGAAUAAAUUACUUGCAUUUAAAUCCUUGUCUCAGAGUUGGCUUCUGGAGGAACUCAGAUGAAGAUGGCAGACUUAUCACUUUUCCUUUUGUCUAACUAAAAGGCUUCAAAUAGAAAUCAAUUAUUCAACUGAUUAUGAAUCCAAAAAUUUCUGGCAUAUUUGAAAGAGCAGAUCAUCCCGACUUUUAGUCCUCAAGAUAUCAAAAAUAUUGCAUCUCCAUCUAGCACCUCCCCCCCCAUUACACACCUGCUUUGUGCUAGGCACUUUACAUGUGCAACAGGAUGAUGUUAGGGGUGCUCUGAGUCUCUUGGCCUAAGUUCAAAGGUCAUUCAGCAGUUGGGGUCAGCCACCUUCCUUCACGGCUCGCUGUGGAGCCAUUUCAGCAGAAUGGCAGCCCAUCCUUAUGCCCAUUCUACCGUGGGCGUCAAGGAGAAGGGGAAAGAGAGCACGUCUUGCUUCUCCUGCUCCCCCUACCCAUUGUCCCAGCUCCAAGCCACUAGAAUCAUGAGUCUGGCUUGAACUGGGUGACAUGGGGCCAGGGGAUCUAAAAGAACUUUGAAUCAGAUCUGAGAAUGAAGUUUUUUCCAAGGAAAUUUAUAUUGAACUAUAAAACACAUACAGAAAAGUAUAUGUGUGUACAUGCACACAGAUAUAUCAUAAGUGCACGGCUCAGUGAAUUUCCCCAGACUAAACAUGCUCACAUAACCUGCACCCAGAUCAAGAUACAGAACUCUCCCAGCCCCUCAGAAAGCUACCUAGUAACCCUCCUAGUCACUACCCUUUGCCAAGGGUGACCACUAUCCUGCUAACACCCUGGAUUGCUUUUGCCUGUUUUUGAACUUCACAUAAAUGGAAUCAUGCCGUGCAUGCUUUUUGGUGUCUGUCUUCGUUUGUUCGACAUCAUGACCAUGAGACUGGGUCUCGUUGUGCUUCACUGGUUGAGACUGACAUUCUAAUUGGAGGAGAUUUGGGUUUUAAGACCUGAAAUAGACAGCUUUGGUAACCAAAGAGUCAGUCAGGCAUGCUAUGGAAUUGUUGAGAGGCUGGUUGAGGAAGCCCAUUCUUUAAUAGCUCCGU
rnacentral:lncRNA from 1 species